rnacentral:rRNA from 1 species
AACGAACGCUGGCGGCAGGCUUAACACAUGCAAGUCGAACGCCCCGCAAGGGGAGUGGCAGACGGGUGAGUAACGCGUGGGAAUCUACCGAGCCCUGCGGGAUAGCUCCGGGAAACUGGAAUUAAUACCGCAUGCGCCCUUCGGGGGAAAGAUUUAUCGGGGUUUGAUGAGCCCGCGUUGGAUUAGCUAGUUGGUGGGGUAAAGGCCUACCAAGGCGACGAUCCAUAGCUGGUCUGAGAGGAUGAUCAGCCACAUUGGGACUGAGACACGGCCCAAACUCCUACGGGAGGCAGCAGUGGGGAAUAUUGGACAAUGGGCGCAAGUCUGAUCCAGCCAUGCCGCGUGAGUGAUGAAGGCCUUAGGGUUGUAAAGCUCUUUCACCGGAGAAGAUAAUGACGGUAUCCGGAGAAGAAGCCCCGGCUAACUUCGUGCCAGCCGCCGCGGUAAGAC